rnacentral:rRNA from 1 species
UGGGGAAUAUUGCACAAUGGAGGGAACUCUGAUGCAGCGACGCCGCGUGAGUGAUGAAGGAAUUCGUUUCGUAAAACUCUGUUCUAUGGGAAGAAAAGGACUGUACCAUAGGAGAAAGCUCCGGCUAAAUACGUGCCAGCAGCCGCGGUAAUACGUAUGGAGCGAGCGUUGUCCGGAAUUAUUGGGCGUAAAGGGUGCGCAGGCGGCUUUACAAGUUGGAUGUGAAAUAUUGUGGCUCAACCACAAACGUGCAUCCAAAACUGCAAAGCUUGAGUUAAGGAGAGGUAAGUGGAAUUCCUGGUGUAGCGGUGGAAUGCGUAGAUAUCAGGAGGAAUACCGGUGGCGAAGGCGACUUACUGGACUUAAACUGACGCACAGGCACGAAAGCGUGGGGAGCAAACAGG